rnacentral:lncRNA from 1 species
AACUUUUCCAAAGUCGGGUUUGAUCAAAUGUUAUAAUUCGAAGCCUUGUAAAUGAAAAUCUGAAAGCAGCUGAUCUUACCCAAAUCCUGCCCUGGGCUUUCUAGAGCUGAACUGCUCAGUAGAAAGGUAACGUCAUUUAAAAAUACACUCAAGAGAAAAAUAUUAAUCGGAUAUUUUACAUUCUUUUUUUCUUCUGAGUCUUUGACCUCUGAUAUCUACUUUGCCCUUACAGCAGUAAGUGCAAUUCAGUUAAAACUUCAGUUCCUUGGUCUUGCCACACUUCAAAUGCUCAACAGAGAUGUGACUAGAAACCUCUCUAUUGGCCAGUGCAGUGAUACAGGAUAGCGGACAGAUUCACCUCUGUGAAGUCAUUACUCAAACAGAGAUGAUGACAUUGUCAUACAAGCAAUUGACAAUGUGGUUUUGUGUAUUCAAGGAUGAUUUGACUCAAUUAAGCAUUUAUUGGGCACCUUGAUAAGCUGAAGUGGGGAUCACAUCUUUCCCAUCCCUAAACCUUCCUUUUGCAUUAAUUUUUGUGUGUGUUGGUUUUUAUCUUCCCAGGGUGGAGUGCAUUAUAAGGACCCAGUACAUGUUGGAUGAAUGCCCAACCCCAUACGUUGGGAGAUACAGAGAAAGCCUUGAGAUUGACUCUGAACUUAAGAACUUGCCAUCAGGAAGAAGAGGCUGUAUCAACACAAAAUGAUGGGAGAACAUCAUGUUAAAUAUGGUGAAAUGGAAGAGAGGUAUGUCUUUAUCAGCAACAUGAAAAUGGACGAAUACGCCAUCUUCUUGGGAGUUGUCAUUGACAGCGGGAAGUCCUGCGUGGACAGGGGGACUGAAAAUUUCUCCUCAUUUCUGCAUGACCAUUGGUUCUAACAUUUCACCCUGCAAAACUGCCACUUAGUUCUGGGUAAUUGCUCUCAUCUCCUAGUAGAUUUGACCUUGAGUAUCUUAAACUGUCAGGUAGAAUUUACUAAUCACUUUUGCCAUUAUUAUUAUUAUUAUUAUUAUUAUUAUUGGUAGUAGUAGUUGUACUAGUAGCAUUUUUCUCUAUACAUUUAGAGAUCCAUGUGGUCCAGUCUAAGAACAGUGUUACAUUCAGAGACCAAUAAACAAAAACAAUAAAAAUGUAACUAAAAUGUUUUAUUUGUAUCUUUUAGAGACAGCAAAGUUUGAGUCUAAUUAUAAUCUAUUACAAUACUUAGUAAAUUUCUCUCUCCAUGCCCCCAGUACUCCCAGAUGGGUUUUCUAUCUCUCUUUCCCCACCAUCUCUUUCCAUCCCUUAGUAUGGAAUUAGUAUGGGCUGUCUUCUAACAUGAAAUAAUCCUUUUUAUUUACAAAGAGAGUGAGCAAAUACAGGGUUUAAUCAGCAGAUAGAAUAGAAUAAAUCUGGAGACAAUCACACUUUAAUAAUUUUUCUGACCACUUAGUUGUAUAUUAUAAUUCAUUAUUUGUCUUAUUAUUUAAACUGAAUCACAAUAGCCUGCAUUUAUGUAGUCCUUUGUCAAUUCCAAGUGUUUUACAGCCAUAGC